rnacentral:rRNA from 1 species
GACGAACGCUGGCGGCGUGCUUAACACAUGCAAGUCGUACGGUAAGGCCCUUUCGGGGGUACACGAGUGGCGCACGGGUGAGUAACACGUGAGUAACCUGCCCACAACUUUGGGAUAACGCUAGGAAACUGGUGCUAAUACUGGAUAUGUGCUCCUGCUGCAUGGUGGGGGUUGGAAAGCUCCGGCGGUUGUGGAUGGACUCGCGGCCUAUCAGCUUGUUGGUGGGGUAGUGGCCUACCAAGGCGGCGACGGGUAGCCGGCCUGAGAGGGUGACCGGCCACAUUGGGACUGAGAUACGGCCCAGACUCCUACGGGAGGCAGCAGUGGGGAAUAUUGCACAAUGGGCGCAAGCCUGAUGCAGCAACGCCGCGUGCGGGAGGACGGCCUUCGGGUUGUAAACCGCUUUCAGCAGGGACGAAGCUUUUUGUGACGGUACCUGCAGAAGAAGCACCGGCUAACUACGUG